AUGCCACGCCUCCGACGAUGCUCACCACCGUCAUCGUCGCCACAGAAGCCAAACCGCCCUCAUUGCCGGACGGACACAACCAAGCAGCACGAACGACAUCCCUAUCUACCACUGGUCCCUUUGGCCGGUAAGAAGCUCCUAGAACGAUGCCCAAGAGGUGCGACACACGUCGCCAUCAUCGUCCGAUCCCACGGGAUCAUGGGUUUCCCCCGAGCAUCCUUGCAUAGUGGAGCGAGCAGGAACGCCUCAGCGACGCCUUCAAGAAGGAAGCGGCGCCCGCAGACACCGUCGUCGCCUGCCCCGGCCCAAAAACCGGCAGCAAGGUCUUCACCCGGCACUGCACCUCCAACCACCAACCCGAGCCAGACCACCACCACAGGAGCCAGAUCCAACAUGACUGGUCAGAUCCGGCACCCAGUGCAUCAGCUGCAACCACCCUUGCUCGCACCAUCGGCCAUGUACCGCCGUCCACACGGUCAGCAAGCCGCCCAGCACCACCUCGCCCUGGAGCCGCUGCCUCGGCGACCUCCCACUUGCAGAUCCACGAGCACAAUGCAGACUCCCUGA
rnacentral:rRNA from 1 species